rnacentral:rRNA from 1 species
CAACUCUGCAUACCACCCUGCAUCCCACUGCUGACUUGACUCUGAAGCUAAGCAGGGUUGGUCCUGAUCAGUCCUUGGAUGGGAGACCAGAUACUGCUGGAAGUGGUGUUGG